ACUCGUCCCGCCAAACCCGUCCAC
rnacentral:siRNA from 1 species